GGGGCCGACCUGGUUUCGACGUGGGUGCGGAUUCGGGACAGGGCAUGUCGAGCACCAGUCAGCUCGUAAAUCCAUCUGGAAAAAAACCAAACGCCAACGAUCAAUCGUUCGCACUCGCCGCUUAAUACCGGUGAGCCUCGCAACAGUCGGCCCAUGGGCUGGGUCUGAGUCGCAAGACAAAGACUGCGAGGUCACUUUCAUGGGCUGGGUCUGCACCGGGUCACUCGGUACAGGUCGAGAUUCAGUGACUGGCUGGACUGGUAGCGUGCUGCUGCGCGAUCAGGACAGCGAGAAUCAAAUCAGACAGCUAAACAUGUAGAUCUGCUCGUUGAUGGCUGACGGACGGGGGUUCAAUUCCCCCCGGCUCCACCA
rnacentral:tmRNA from 1 species